ACACUCCUGCGGGAGGCAGCAGUGGGGAAUAUUGGACAAUGGGCGCAAGCCUGAUCCAGCCAUGCCGCGUGAGUGAUGAAGGCCCUAGGGUUGUAAAGCUCUUUCACCGGUGAAGAUAAUGACGGUAACCGGAGAAGAAGCCCCGGCUAACUUCGUGCCAGCAGCCGCGGUAAUACGAAGGGGGCUAGCGUUGUUCGGAUUUACUGGGCGUAAAGCGCACUUAGGCGGACUAUUAAGUCAGGGGUGAAAUCCCGGGGCUCAACCCCGGAACUGCCUUUGAUACUGGUAGUCUUGAGUUCGAGAGAGGUGAGUGGAAUUCCGAGUGUAGAGGUGAAAUUCGUAGAUAUUCGUAGGAACACCAGUGGCGAAGGCGGCUCACUGGCUCGAUACUGACGCUGAGGUGCGAAAGCGUGGGGAGCAAACAGGAUUAGAAACCCUAGUAGUCCCAUG
rnacentral:rRNA from 1 species